AACGAACGCUGGCGGCGUGCCUAACACAUGCAAGUCGUGCGAGAAAGUUCCUUCGGGAGCGAGUAAAGCGGCGCACGGGUGGGUAACACGUAGGUAACCUGCCCCCCAGUCUGGAACAACUAGAGGAAACUCUAGCUAAUGCCGGAUGAGACCACGAUCCCUUCGGGGGUUGCGGCCAAAGAUGGCCUCUACUUGUAAGCUAUCGCUGAGGGAUGGGCCUGCGGGCCAUUAGCUUGUUGGUGAGGUAACGGCUCACCAAGGCUGUGAUGGCUAGCUGGUCUGAGAGGAUGACCAGCCACACUGGGACUGAGACACGGCCCAGACUCCUACGGGAGGCAGCAGUGGGGAAUAUUGCGCAAUGGGCGAAAGCCUGACGCAGCGACGCCGCGUGGGUGAUGAAGGCC
rnacentral:rRNA from 1 species